rnacentral:tRNA from 1 species
AGUCUCGAAGUUUGACACGUUAGAUUGCAAAUCUAGAAAAGCCGGUUAAUUGUCGGCCGGGGCUU